GAUGAACGCUGGCGGCGUGCCUAAUACAUGCAAGUCGAGCGAACGGACGAGAAGCUUGCUUCUCUGAUGUUAGCGGCGGACGGGUGAGUAACGCGUGGAUAACCUACCUAUAAGACUGGGAUAACUUCGGGAAACCGGAGCUAAUACCGGAUAAUAUUUUGAACCGCAUGGUUCAAAAGUAAAAGACGGUCUUGCUGUCACUUAUAGAUGGAUCCGCGCUGCAUUAGCUAGUUGGUAAGGUAACGGCUUACCAAGGCAACGAUGCAUAGCCGACCUGAGAGGGUGAUCGGCCACACUGGAACUGAGACACGGUCCAGACUCCUACGGGAGGCAGCAGUAGGGAAUCUUCCGCAAUGGGCGAAAGCCUGACGGAGCAACGCCGCGUGAGUGAUGAAGGUCUUCGGAUCGUAAAACUCUGUUAUUAGGGAAGAACAUAUGUGUAAGUAACUGCGCACAUCUUGACGGUACCUAAUCAGAAAGCCACGGCUAACUACGUGCCAGCAGCCGCGGUAAUACGUAGGUGGCAAGCGUUAUCCGGAAUUAUUGGGCGUAAAGCGCGCGUAGGCGGUUUUUUAAGUCUGAUGUGAAAGCCCACGGCUCAACCGUGGAGGGUCAUUGGAAACUGGAAAACUUGAGUGCAGAAGAGGAAAGUGGAAUUCCAUGUGUAGCGGUGAAAUGCGCAGAGAUAUGGAGGAACACCAGUGGCGAAGGCGACUUUCUGGUCUGUAACUGACGCUGAUGUGCGAAAGCGUGGGGAUCAAACAGGAUUAGAUACCCUGGUAGUCCACGCCGUAAACGAUGAGUGCUAAGUGUUAGGGGGUUUCCGCCCCUUAGUGCUGCAGCUAACGCAUUAAGCACUCCGCCUGGGGAGUACGACCGCAAGGUUGAAACUCAAAGGAAUUGACGGGGACCCGCACAAGCGGUGGAGCAUGUGGUUUAAUUCGAAGCAACGCGAAGAACCUUACCAAAUCUUGACAUCCUUUGACAACUCUAGAGAUAGAGCCUUCCCCUUCGGGGGACAAAGUGACAGGUGGUGCAUGGUUGUCGUCAGCUCGUGUCGUGAGAUGUUGGGUUAAGUCCCGCAACGAGCGCAACCCUUAAGCUUAGUUGCCAUCAUUAAGUUGGGCACUCUAAGUUGACUGCCGGUGACAAACCGGAGGAAGGUGGGGAUGACGUCAAAUCAUCAUGCCCCUUAUGAUUUGGGCUACACACGUGCUACAAUGGACAAUACAAAGGGCAGCGAAACCGCGAGGUCAAGCAAAUCCCAUAAAGUUGUUCUCAGUUCGGAUUGUAGUCUGCAACUCGACUACAUGAAGCUGGAAUCGCUAGUAAUCGUAGAUCAGCAUGCUACGGUGAAUACGUUCCCGGGUCU
rnacentral:rRNA from 1 species